GGGGCCGUAGCACAGCUGGGAGCGCGCCGCCUUCGCAAGGCGGAGGCCGGGGGUUCGAAUCCCCUCGGCUCCA
rnacentral:tRNA from 1 species